GGGGCUGUAGCUCAGUGGUUGAGCGCUUGCCUCGCCUGCAUGAGGCACUGGGUUGGAUCCUCAGCACCCAUA
rnacentral:tRNA from 1 species